rnacentral:rRNA from 1 species
UAACGCGUGAGCAAUCUGCCUUUAAGAGGGGGAUAACAGUCGGAAACGGCUGCUAAUACCGCAUAAAGCAUUGAAACCGCAUGAUUUUGAUGCCAAAGGAGCAAUCCGCUUUUAGAUGAGCUCGCGUCUGAUUAGCUAGUUGGCGGGGUAACGGCCCACCAAGGCGACGAUCAGUAGCCGGACUGAGAGGUUGAACGGCCACAUUGGGACUGAGACACGGCCCAG